GUUGCGCAUCUCUUCCACUCGGCGGCGCUAGACAACCUUGAAGGUGGGUUCACUAUCUUUGCAGCCGUGUGUGAAAGCCAGUUUAGCUUCUGAACCCAACAACUGUUCAACAGCCUUUUGGUGCCUGACCGGUUUCAGAAGACAGAAUCUGGACGACUAGGACAUUUUCUUUCGAGAUUACGCCAGCAGAGGUGAAGUCAGACGUUGACAGCGACAUCUUAACAGGUCAAUGUGUGCAGUUCACUAGAUGUGACGGGUCCAAAAAGAUUGGCAAAGUCAUUUACCAAGUUCUAGCCAAGCCUUCCGUGUACUUCAUCAAGUUUGAUGGCGACAUCCACAUCUAUGUCUAUAAUCUGAUGGAAAAGAUUCGUUAAGAUACCCAAUGGCCUUUGACAACCCCAGUAUCUUUUCCAGUGGAAUUUGUUUUUGCUCUAAAAAUUAAAAUGUGUGAUGUUACGUGUUGUGUGUGCACACUUUUGUGGAGGAGACUGGCUGUGGUGGAUGGAACAUUGAGAGGAAGCCGGAAAGUUCAAGGCUGUGAACAGCCCCUAAAGUCAUCUUUUUAAAUAAAUCCUACCUUCACAUGCAGAGAAGAGACCAGGAUGAGGGUAAGAAAGAAUAAAUUGAUGGUGAUGUGGAAGAAAGACUAAAGAACACAUGUGGGAGUUGAGGACACUGAGGGACGAAGGAAUUCCAAGAUGAAGUUCUCAAAAAGUGAAGCAGGAGACCCAGGAAGAACAGAAAGGGUCUCGAAUGAGUUGAACUUGGGCCGCAUCCAUAUUGGUCUCUUUGGUUCCUUAAAGAACAGCCAAGCUAUCACUACAGAAGGUGGAUGUGAGGUGGUCGCUUCCCCAGAGGACAUUUUGACGAGGAUAACUCAAGAAUAGUGAAUGCCAAAUUAAGUUUAUAUCUAUCGAUUCCUGUAAGUGCCACAAAGCCCAUUACUUUGUAUGAUCAGUAAAAAGAAAUUUAAAAAAGAACAUGUGGAUGCCAUGAGCUUAUGUCAGGUAUUACGUGGAUCCUUUGUUUAGCUUCCCUGAGCACUGUUAGACUCUGUUGGAUCCUGUAAUAUUUUUUGAGGUCUCUUCUGAAUGCCCCUAGAUGACCACAAAGGGCUCCUGCACUGGCUUAUCUUGCCUGACUCUCCUUCGACUGGAUGGCUUCCUACACAUAUGUGGGCCCUUUUACUUUAUCUAGCCCCAGGAAGUUCCCAUAUUUACUCACAUGAAAGCUUAUCCUCAGAAAACUCUUGAUGGUGCAUCCAAUGCAGAGGUGCUGAGCUCUUUCCUAUGCCAUUUGCCGUGACGUUAAAAUGCUUUGCAGUUCCUGACCAUGUAGCUCUCUCCUCCUGAGAAACCCCUGUGCACUCCAUGGGGUCCCUCUGAGCCACAUCUACAC